UCAUGAGGUAGUCCCCGUGGCACCCCAACACCCACAGGGAACCCCAGUCCUUCUGCAGUGACCCCAGGAGUGCCUCGGAGCCUGACGUAGAGGGAGAGAGAGAGGAAAGGAUCGAUCGUUACUGGUGGUUCAAGGGGAGGCGGAGGCGGAGGAAGAGGAAGAGGAUCAAGUGGAGGAAGAUGUCGGACGUGCUGCGCCUGUGUCCUGCUUCCUAGUGUUUUAUUGACCCUUAGUGUGCUUUGUUGUGACCUUCCCUUCGUCUGCGUGACCUUCCCUUCGUCUGCGUGACCUUUCCUUCGUCUCCGUGACCCUGAGAACCACCGGGAAGAUCCUGAAGUUUUUUCUGGUGAGCGACAGCCGUCCCGUCCCAUCCCGUCCCGUCCCAUCCCGUCCCAUCCCGUCCCGUUCCCGCGGCGCCGCUUCAGAUAUUGACUUUUCGUAUAUUAGACAAAUUUAUCAAGAACUUUUUGACACUCCCUCGGAAUUAUUUUAUACACGAAUUCCUGCAGACAAACACACAUAAAGAAGAAUACACACACACACACACACACACACACACACACACACACACACACACACACACAC